rnacentral:lncRNA from 1 species
AUUCGGGUAAGAAAUUUAAAAGUAAUGCUUCCAAAACCAAGAAAAGUGAUUCCAAAAAACAUAAAAAACGAGUCAUGAUUCCACCCCUGAAAUUUAUGGAACACUCACCAUUGCCUUUUAUAACCACUUCAACAAUUUCCCAUAACCUUUUACACGAUAAAGUGGGUGAUUUUUCUCUCCCACUGCUGUAUCUUAUAGACCCUCUUUGCUUCACGUGAAUCUUUGUCCUUUUCAGCUUUUCUUUUCUUAAUCUUAAAUUAUGAAAACACUUUCUUGAAAUAAAAUCAGAUUAAAAACAAAAACACACCCGCACAUAGAGCGCAUUUUCUUUUUCUUGCUUUUACAAGUUUCAACUUGACCCGAUAUUUCGGAGCCGAAACGUCAAGUGUUCCGAAAUUUCGUAAUGGGUCGGUUACCAGAGACAGUCGUUGAAGCUAAACGACGACGCUUCGAGGUGGUCGAACGGCCACCCAGUUGGGAUCGAUCCACAGAGGUGGUUGUGGCUCAGAUCCAGGUGGCCGAUAUACGCAGCCGAUGACAAAGAUUUCGGUAUCUGACCCUUGAGGUUGUUGUACGAUAAAUCCAGUCCUAUGAAGUACGUUUUCGACCCGAAAACGUCUGGUAAUUUGCCUUCGAGCGAGUUUCGGCUGAGGUUGAGGAUGUUGAGUCCGGUGUUGCUCAGUAGAGAUGCCGGGAUGGAACCGGAGAGUCUGUUGCUGUCGAGGUUGAGAGUGGAGAGAACCGGCAUUGAACCGAGUUCAGCCGGGAUCACACCGGAGAUUUGGUUUACGGAGAGGUCAAAAUCGGCGAGCCGGUAAAGGCCUGAGAUGGAGCUCGGAAUGGUGCCGGUGAGCUGGUUCCGGCCGAGCAUGGCUCGGCUCAGCAUCGUGAGUUUUCCGAAAUCCUGCGGAAUUCCGCCGGUGAUCUGGUUGUUCCGGAGGUCCAGGUGCAUUAGUGACGCGAGGUUCACAACCGACGCCGGAAUGCUGCCGGAGAUCGAGUUAUCCGCCACGUUCAGAACCGUCAGUCGCUGCAACUUCCCGAUGUCCGCCGGGAUCACACCGGUGAUCUUGUUCCCGACGAGGUCGAGGAUCCGAAGCUUGCUGAGCGACGAAAUGCACGGUGGAAUCUCGCCAGAGAUGCCCUUCCAGUCCGCGAUUAUCAGCGUGGUGAGGCUGUCCAGCUUGCAAAUGGAAGGCGAGAUCGCGCCAGUCAUGUAGCCAGACCGGCCGGCGCGCUCAAAGAUCGGAUCCUCCGACUCCCCCCGGAGGUUAAUGUCUGCGACACGACCGGCGGAGUCACAGCUGAUGCCGAACCAGCUGGAGCAGCAGUCGUUGCCGGACCAGCUCUUGAAGAUUCCCAAGUAGGGCUCGUUCAAUGCAGCUUUGAAGUCCAGCAGAGCCUGCCGGUCUGCCGGCGUACAAGAUUCGACGCCGGUAGCGCCAGCGACGAUAAGGGCCGUGAGGAACAAGAAGAGUUUCAUUCCUCUGUGUGCUUAGAGUGUGAUGCGGUGUUUGACUGUGACUGGACAGUGAGGGUGUUUAGUGGCGGGGAUGGGUAGUUGCAGUGUUACGUGGGUGGAGGGAGGAGGAUGAUGCACCAGGCAUGGGCUGAUGGGUUUGCCUAUAUACACAAUAUUUGGACGAAAAUGCCCCUGUCUUGGGUUACAAUUACGCUUUAUAGA